CUUUUUUUUUUUUUUUGGUUCCACUUGAUGAAUGAUGAAUCCAUCGGCGCCGUCCGAAUUUACGGCCGAUGGCGACCCAACGCCGGUCGGCAGGAGCUAGUGCCAUGGAAUGUGCACACUUCACGUGUCACAUGUCCUUGCGUCUGAUGCCAAUUUUCUCUUCGUUUGACUCACUAACAAAGCUGUGGUCCAGCAGCCCAGCAACAAAGCUGUUUAGUUAGGCUGAAACCUCCUCGGACGCUGCUUUUGAGCCGUGUCUGUUCUGCCCUACGGCUACGGGCCUACAAAGCCUCUUUCGUGACAUCCAAUCCAGCCCAAUCCGCUCCUCUCCUGCUGUCCGUGCGCGCCUGCCAAGAACCCAGUGCCAGCUCCACCGCCAGCUCCGCCACCGGAAUGAGUACACUUCACACACACACCCCAAUCAGGACACUGUUAUCAUAAUCAUAAAAUAUAUAUAGUAUAGGAGAAGUGAAUUUAUAAGCACAGUUUCGUCAUAUAUAUUUAUUUAAUUUAAGUCCAAUUGGAUUCGGCCCACGUUUUCAUUUUUUUAUACUCCUAUAAAACGGUCCGUGGUUAAUUACGAACACAAAGAAAAAGUUUCUGCUUCUAUCCAAUGGGCCCGUUUUGCGCCGUGUCUGUCGUUCGCGGGCCUCCAAAACCAUAACGUGACUUGAUCCAAUCCAGCCCAAUCCGCUUCUCUCCUCACGCGCGCCUGCCAAGUGCCAACACCACUACAGCUACAGCACACCACCACCGGGGCACCGGAUAAGGCAAGAGCGCUGCGCCGCUGCCCGCUGCCCGCUGAGGGGAGCCUGCUGCCUGCCAAGGAAGGAAAAGGGAAGCCUCUGGCAUAGCCCAUGGCGCGGGGCGGCCACGUCGCGGCUCUCUCCCUGCCACCGCGUCUCGCCGCGACGACGCCGUGCUCCGGCCGCCCUGUCCGAGCUAGCUGCGCCAGGCCGGUGCCAGCAGGGGGCGCGCGGCGGCGGGGCCGCGGACGCCUCAUGGUGGUGCGGGCCGGCGGGCCGCCCAGCACCAACCAGCUCAUCCUCGCCUUCGUGCUCCCGCUCUCCCUCUUCGUCGGCACGCUCGUCACCGCCGCCCGCGUCGCCGACGACCUCGACGACCGAUUCCUAAGGGAGGUACGAUUACGAAUUUACGAUACGAGUACCACUACCACGCGCUUCUGUUACUGCUAGCAGCUAGCUGCUGCGUAUACUCUACUAAUCAGCUGUUAGCUUCAUUCCUCGUUAAUUUACUUGAAUUCGUCCUGCUAACCAGUAACUGCACGUCUGUGACAGAUUGCAUUACUAUUAUGAUUAUUUUGCACUUCGCAAAUGAGAUUCUGAUGAUGAUUUUCGUCAACAAUUGAAAUUGUUAGCAAGCAGCCAAGCACCAUGCGCGUCUGAUUGUAGUUAGUGCUACCUGCGAAUAGAAUUGUACAUCUGACUAUUCAUUUCCUUGUUGGCAACUUGGCAUAUACGCGAGAGCAUGUCUGAACCUGAAGAGACACACAUACAUACAGUGUUAACACUUGGCCAAACGGCGGCUGUCCGUGCAUGCGCAGAUGGAGAUAAACCGAGCGAUACUGGAAGAGAACGAGGCGUCGGACGAGGACGGCGCCGGCGAGGAAGAAGACGACGGCGACAUUAUUGUGUACGACGAAGGGGAGGAGGAAGAGUUGCCGCCGGUACCGGUGGAGGAGAAGGAGCCCGCCGUUGUUGGUCCACGCACCAGGAACAGGCCCAGAAGACGAGUGUAAUUAGACGUCUUCUUCCCCGUGUUCAUGUUCAGAGAGAGUUUAAUUAGUUUGGCGAGUGACUCUCUUCUUGGAAAUAUGCUCUCGCAAAUGCCAAAGUCUGAUCGGCAAAGCACUGCACGGAUGUUUUAUAUAUAGUUAGCCAAAGCUGCAGUCUAGUAUUUUUUUUGAACUUGUUCUUUUUUGUUAUUUAUGUGCGGUCACACAUACAUACAGACUUACAGUUGGACCUAUACAUUGCUAGAUGAAGCAAGCGCAGAAUACACGAGCCUUGGUUCUGAUUUACAGGCAAUCAAUACAUCGCAAACUGCAGUGCCGGCCGGUUGUAUGUUUUGGUAGGAGGACCCAUGCAUGAACUCACUGCAAUGCGUUCAUGAUGAGUAUGUUUGUGUAGUGUAUAUUCUGGUUAAUGGAAAGUCGGAAAUGGUGGCUAAUCUUUGGGGUGGAACAAGCCUUAAAUGCACCUUUAGGAGAUGUGUUGAUAACAGGUUGAUGAACCUGUAGUUAUAAGUAGUUUAGUUAGCCUCUACAGUGUGUUUGUCUGACGAAGAAAUCGAGACCUACAUCUUUUUUCCGUUACCCAUUUUCCAUCUAAUAAGCCCCAUUUUUGCAGCAGAGGCUGCCCAUAGCAAGCCUUUAAAAUACAGUGAAGACCCCAGGGUUGAGCUAUAAAAGACAUUGAGAUAUUCACCAAAAAAAAGAAAGAUAUUGAUAUAUUAUAGGUCUAGCAGUACUGUAUUUAUAGUCAACAACCUGUCUCCAUAACUAGUGACCAUCUAGAUCGUAUCUUCUAAUCCAUGAGGUUAACUGAUAUAGGUUUAAAUCUGUCAAAUUUGGGAUCCCAAGUCCUCCAAAAUCUUUUAACAUACUAACACUCUCUCAAUUUGCAAGAUGAAAUGUAUCUAAUUUUGAAUCUAAUUUAGGUCGAUUCUAAUGACUUACUCCUAUUCAAUAAUGAUCAUUGCAUAAUGUCAAGACGAAAUUUUAAAUAGCAUUACUCCUUGCUAUUCAUCUUUAUAUGUCUUGUUGGAUCGUGUAUAUAUGGACCUGCGCGUGCAUGCGUCCCACUUGUUUAGGAGAAAUUGAUGGGGUACGCCGGAGAUUUGUCCGGGUUGAAGAGUCCGAAGUGCCUCUCCGUCUCCGCUCCCGUCUUCUUGUCCUCGUUGAACAUGGCGAAGAUGUAGGUCUCGAUGGCGCCGGGGCGCUUCGGCGUGCCCUGCCCGACAUGGUUGAUGAGGUUCUGGUUGUAGGUCUGCGCGUUCCCUGGUGUGGCGGCGUCGCCGCCGUCCGACGGCCACCCGCUCUCGGACACGACGACGCCGACGUUCCCGGCGCCGGCGUUCUCGAGCGCGGACACGAAGGUGUCGACGAGCGCGUCGAAGAGGUUCUGGUACGCGUUGCCGUCGUCGUCCUGCACGACGGUCCCCGGCGACGUGAAGAGCGCGUAGCUGAGGGCGAUCUGGGCCUCGUUGCCCGUGUAGGAGAAGUAGGGGUAGACGUUGCAGAGCAGCGGGGCCCCCGUGCUCUGCAGGUACUGCGCGAUGGGCCCCAUGUAACCCUGCGAGAAGCUGCCCUGCGACGGCGGGAAGCCCUGGGUGACGCCGCUCUCCACCGCCGUGGACACCUUGAUGCCUCCGAGCCCGGCGUUGGCGAGCGCGGAGUUGACGUUCUGCAUGGCGGGGAGGAUGCUGUUGGUGUCCCCGCCGGAGACCUCGUUGCCGACGGCGAUGUACUUGAAGUUGACCCCCGGGAACGCCUGCAAGUUCCUCUGCACCCACGUCGCCGCCGCGCUCGGGUCGGAGGCCAGCGAGGAGAGGUCCGAGUUGGGCACGUCCAUGAUCACGCCGAUGUUGCUGCCGCUCAGCGCGUUCAGCGCGUUGGUGUCCGGGAAGUAGAUGCGCAUGAGGUUGAUGCCGUUGGACUGGUAGAGCUGCACCACGUCGCUCGCCGGCGGCAGGUUGUCGCCGUUCACGCCGUAGCACACGCCGAUGGAUUUGACUCCUGUACGUACGUACAUAAGUGUCAAUAAUGCAUGCAUAUCAGCAUAUCGCGGUGAUCAGCAUUGCACCUAGCUAGAGUAAUGUAUGAUGCGUGAUGCAUGAAAAUCUGAUCUGACCUGUAGGAGUGGCUGGAAAUGCUCGGAGCAGCAAUGCCAGUGCAAGCAUGGAAGCUACAAGAAGCAAUGCCAGUGCAAGCAUGGAAGCGACAACCUGCUUCGACAUCUUGGAAGGAUCAGGAUCAGGAUCAGGAUCAGUUGCGCUACUCCUAUAUGUUUGCAGCAGCUACAGACAGGUAACUGUAACCGAUGCUACACUGGACUGCACUCCACUGCAUGCAAUUCACCGAGGCAUCGAGGCAUAUUUAUAUAGCUAGCUAGCUAGGCAGGGGCACGGCGGAGGCAAAUUCUGAGAGAUGUGCCGUCUCUCUGAUCGCCCAGUUUUAGCGGCACCAAUGCAAUACCUCGUUCCGUUAACAGCUUACACCGGAAGCCGCCGAGACGUACUGAUCUUGCCGCGGCAGCGACAGAUGAAGACGUAGACCUGACCUCGUCGCGAGCAAGCAUGUUGGGUGUUGGCUUUCUCAAAUCUGCGGUUGGACUUCGACGUCAUCGAGCACUCAGGAGCUACCGCAACGCGGGCUCGGCGUGGCGAUGCUCGAGCGGUUCUGUUGCAGGGGCGCGCGACCACCUGCUCGAGCUGUUCGCUGUGGUCCAGGAUGGUGAAUUUGUGAUAGAGAUGUCAACUCUGCUAAUUAAUGGGUUUUCUUCUUGAAAUAAUCUCUAGUAAAACUCCAAAUCAACCCCCAAAUGCAUAGACAUCAAUCUUUCUUUGUUGACCUUCCUGUAUGAAAAAUAUUCAGAACCCAAGUACCUCGACAGUAGCAGUUUUUCAUAUCUGAUGUAACUGUGAGUUAAUAUACUAGCUAACUGCUAACCAAAGUCUUGAGAUGAUACAGAGUCACAGAUCCAAAAGGUUCCAGUGAUGUCGGUACAUGUUAGCAAAGGAAGUUGAAACUGACACUUGCUUUGCUAACCCAAAAUCACACGACUGAAUGAAAUUUCCACUAGGUAACAAUGUCACAAAGGAUCAACAUCGGCAAAAGUGAUGUUACAAAUGGUUUCCCAAUCGCAUUACUGCUUCCGUGUCAAGCUGAAUAAGAACUUGUGAUCACUCUGUAGUUGACAUGUCGUAUCACCUGUGAAUUUGUGAUCACUGCCCUACGAAUAUAGGCCUUGUUUAGUUCACCCUGAAAACCAAAAAGUUUUCAAGAUUUCCCGUCACAUCGAAUCUUCUAGCACAUGCAUGAAACAUUAAAUAUAGACGAAAACAAAAACUAAUUACACAGUUUAGUUGUAAAUCAUGAAACGAAUCUUUUGAUCCUAGUUAGUCCAUAAUUGGAUAAUAUUUGUCACAAUCAAACGAAAGUGCUAUAGUACCGAAAACUUUUCACUCUUCGGAACUAAACAAGGCAAUAAAUUAUAUUCCUUUACCCAAUGCAGACUUUGAACACCAGAUAAUCCAUUUCAACGGGUGGAGGUGGAUGAUGCAGACUGGGCCUGGUGGCGGCAAAUUCACUAGGGCCAGUAGCGCGCUGGGUGGCCCUGUGUCCUGGCAGCGUCAUCCCCGUUCACGGCGGACAGCUAGAGCAGCGGGGCGCCCUCGCGAUAUGGAGCCGCUCGAGCUCUGCCAUGUCGUCGAGACCGUGCUGUGGCGUCUUCUUGUGUCGACAUCGCAGCUGAUGCUGGCAUGAGCUAGCGCCCUAUGAAUGUCAUGAUCUGCCGGCCUCGUUUUCGCACACAUCUUUAGGUGGCUUCUGACGAAAGAAAACGCUUUGCCGUUCACGACUAACCUGAAAUUAAUCACUUUAUAGAGAGAUUGAGAGGAAAACACUGUUUAGAAUUAAACUGCCAAAUUAAGGAGUCUUCUUCGUCAAACAAACUGUAGAGGCUAACUAAAUUACUUCUAACUAGAGGUUCAUCAACCAGUUAUCAACACACCUUCUGACUUUCCACCCCCAAAGAUUAGCCACCGUUUCCGACUUUCCAUGGACCAGAAUAUAAAUUUCCCAAAAAUGUAUAGCUCAACUAGAGUUUCCCAACCAGUUAUCCUUUAAAAACUUAAUCUUCUUCUUGUUACCUAUUUCCUGUCUGAACUCCAUUUUCGCAGCAGAGGCUGCCCACAGCAAGCCUUUAAAAAAUGGUGAAGUCAUGCACUCGUGCUAGCAGUAUUGUAUUUAUAGUCAACAACAAUACAACAUGGCUACUUAACUUACUCCACAAGGCUAACAGACACUUCUUUAAAUCUCUCAAAUUUGGUACCAAGCCGCCCAAAAUCUUUGAACAUACUACUAACACUCUCCCAAUUUGCAAGAUGAUAUGUUCUAAUUUUGAACCGAAUUUUAAUUGAUUAUAAUGAGAUAUUACUCCCAUUUAAUAAUGAUCGAUGCACAUAAUGUCGAGACGAAAUUAGGAGAAAGCAUAUAACUACAUGGGCAAAGAAGAAAUAAAUCAAGAAUGUACUUCUUGUUAUUCAUUUUUAUGUAAUAAUCGAAGCACUUGCCUUACAUGGAUGCACUUUGCAUUUUACAGGCAGUUUAUUCAAUGUUUUGGUAUGUAGUAUAUAAGGUAUAUAUGUGUAUCUGUAUGGUAUCUCGUAUAGUUAAAUUUUAUGUCUUGUUCGAUCGUGUAUAUAUGGACCGGGCCGCGCGAGCGUCCCACUUGGUUGGUUUUUAGGAGAAAUUGAUGGAGUACGCCGGCGAUUUGUCCGGGUUGAAGAGUCCGAAGUGCCUCUCCGUCUCGGCUCCCGUCUUCUUGUCCUCGUUGAACAUGGCGAAGAUGUAG
rnacentral:lncRNA from 1 species